CUACAGCCCGACUUGAGUGGAAAUCCUUUUUGAUUUUUUUCAAAAAAAAAAUAAAAAGAUUGGGAACGGAAGGCGGAUGAAGC
rnacentral:sRNA from 1 species